rnacentral:misc_RNA from 1 species
AAAACACUCCAACAGAGAAUUUCCGAAGGGUGACAUUUAACAAAUCUCAAUAAAUUGAUUUGAAAGGGUGACAUCAAGAUGACCAAGAUAUGGUUGGUGUUUCCUAAAAUUGACAUGUACAAAGAAGCCAAGGUAAAUAAUGGCUGGCCAUGCAAUGCAUCAUUAUCUUAAUUUUCCCUUUAACAAUCAUUAUUACUGAAAUUCAAGAGAUAGGAAGAACAGAGAAACUAAGCUCUACCAGAAUGCUUCACUAGUCAUCAUUCUAUCACACCUAAUCUUGGAGGCCUAAUUGAUUUGGCUAAGAUGGUGCAGAUUUGUGGAUUUUAAUCUUUAGAUGAUAGACAAUACAAUAUUAAAAGGGGGCAAAGAGCAAAUAACCCCAAAUGAAUAAUACAAGUACCAAACCAAUUAGUGGUAAUUAGUGGUAAGGAGGGAGUAGGGGGAAG